rnacentral:lncRNA from 1 species
CUGACACCCCGGAGCUGUCCCACAGUGAGUGUGCUUGUUUGGCAUUCGGGACGGGUACUGCACAAGAAAAUUGGUUUGUUGCCGCACCAGUGUGCCCUGAGGCCACAUACGGAAGACGGCAGUGUUACCAGGCAGAAGAAGGCUGGAUUUCUGAGCUACCAUUUAGAUAUAAGCUACUCAGUCAGGAACCUGCGAUUCAUAUUUUGCAUGGGCAGAAAACAUACUGGGCUUACACUUAGCCCAUGCCGACUAACGCACUCCCUUACCUUUGUCAAACAUUUCUUAGUCCUUGCUGUUUUCCAAGCACUGUGAUGAAUACGAGAGACACAAAGUCAAAGAAAGCACAGCCCCUGAACUCAAGGAGCUCACGGUACAGAAGAAAUGGAGGCAAAGAAUUCCAGAUCCGUCUCUCAAGGUCUAUGUCAUCAUCUGCGUGUCUGCUGUGUCUGAGGAACCUGGUCUGCAAAGCCUGCUUUGAAAAGACAAGCCUGUGUCCAGGAGGACUGCAGCUCAGCACGGAAAGAUGAGAGCUAUAUGUCCUGGGAAUGACACAGAGCUACUGAAUGUGCCACCUCGCAUACAGGGUAUCUCUAUAUAAAAAUAAACGGCGCAUGCUUACAAUCCCAGCACUCUGGGAAGUGGAGGCAGGAGGAGAUCACAAGUUCAAAUCUAGACUGGGCAACUUGGUGACUUAGUGAGAUCCUGUGUCAAAAUGUUUAAAAGAAAAUUUUCCAAAGGGUAUGCUGCAGUUCAGUGAAAAGACUUUGGGUUUGUACCCCAGUGUCAAAAGAAGUAAAAAAUAAAAGUAAAGUUCUUUUUCUAAGCCACUUUUUUUGGUAUUUUCUCCUAGGACCAUUUGGUAGAUCCUACUGGAU